GACGAGGGGUCCAAGCGUUGUUCGGAAUCAUUGGGCGUAAAGCGGGUGUAGGCGGCUUUGUAAGUCAGGCGUGAAAGCCCCAAGCUUAACUUGGGAAGUGCUUUUGAUACUGCAAAGCUUGAAUGUGGGAGAGGAUGGUGGAAUUCCAGGUGUAGUGGUGAAAUACGUAGAUAUCUGGAGGAACUCCGGUGGCGAAGGCGGCCAUCUGGCCCAACAUUGACGCUGAGACCCGAAAGCGUGGGGAUCAAACAGG
rnacentral:rRNA from 1 species